UGUGUCAAUCAAAGGGUACAAAGUUUCAGUAGAUGGGAGGAAUGCACUUCAGUGAUCUCUUACAAACAAAAGUGACAUGAUGAUAAUGCUCUAUGUAUUUAUAAUGACAAAAAUAGCAAUUCUUAAAUUGCAAAAAAGAAAAAAAAAAACCAGUGUGGUAGCAGUAGAUUUGUUAGCUUGAUUUGAUCACGACACUCUAUAAGCAUAUAUCAAAGCACUGGAUUGCACCCUACAAGUAUUUACAAUUAUUAUCUAUGGAUCAAAACAAAAUGGUUAAAGCUUUAAUAAUAGAAAUGUCAGAGCCAGAAGGACACAAGAUGGACCUAAUCAACUAGUAAAGGUGCCAGAUGAAACAAAGGAGACACAUUUCAGAACAAAUGUAACUACCUCUUUAUCCAGCGUUGCCUUCAAACAUUCUUGGACCCUGCUUUAUCUUCUAUCUCCUUAGUUUUCCUUUUUCUAAAUUUUAGGCUAAUAAUUAUCUUUCUUUUUUAGUAUGGGACUUCAUGAGUCUUUUGGCCUAAUGCCUCGUCUACAUGAAACUGUUCUUAUUUUACAGGAUUGGACAAAAUAAUCCCUCUUGAGGGCCAUUUAGGGUGGGUUUGGUGAUGCAUGGAGUUGGUUAUCAUCAGAGAGUGGUGAGAUUUCUUUUGUGGAUGAAAGAAGAGAUUGUGACUACGAGAUGCUGACAUUUCAUCAUUGUUAGAGUUACAUUAGCUGGAUCACUUGGGAACUGGCUUGCAGUUAUUAAAGGUGAAGCGGAGAAAGUGAUUUCAGACCAACUGGGCAUCAUUUCAAAAUUUUGAAAGUGAUUUCAGCCAACUGGGUGGCUCAGGGGCUGCCUGAGGGAGGAGGCAAAAAAACACUGCAACCUGAUCCAGAACACCUAAGACACAGAGGCAACCUAGAUACCCAUCAUAAAACCGACAGGAGGAUACUAUUCUUUUUUUUAAAGAAAUUUUGUCAUUUGCAACAUGAAUGAACUUGGAGGACAUUGUUAUGAAAUAAACUAGGCAUGGGAAGAAACAUGCCAGGCAGGUCUGGCUUCUGAAGUAUGCUUUAACUAUAGCAAUAUAGUAUACAAAAUAAAGGACUUCGUCGUUCAAGCAUGCAUACCAUUAUGUGUGUAUCAUUGUACUCUGGUCAUAUUUACCCGCUCUUUAUUCUCCUGCCCCUCUCAACCCUGGAUAUUUUGUUUCAGACCAGCUUCCUACUACUAAAAUGCCUUCUUUUUACAUUAGAUCUUAGCUAAAAUGCCGAGAUAUGAUGAAAAACCUACUUCUUCUGAAAGCAGCUUGAUGGAAGUGUGAGCAUAUGACAGACCUGGAAUACUCACAGUGCAGAUGUGCUAACCACGGCCAGCUUAGGCAUCUGUCUAUAGAGGGGUGGAUUAGGAGUAACGGGCGUAUAUGAACGGGGGGGGGGUUAUACUCAGCCAAAAUGAACAUCAAAAUGACCUUAUCAGCAAGAAAAGUUGCUAGAAGUAGAGGUUAUCGUGUUAAAAGAAACAGGCUAGAUUUGGACAGAUAUGGUUUAUUUUCUCUCAGACACAGAAGCUAGGUUUUUUUAAAGAAAAGAGGAAGAGACCCAAUCAGAGUGGACAAAAGCGAUAAUGUCAGCGAGAGUAGUGAGCAAGGUCAAAUUACAGUGUAUGCAAGGAUGGAAAAUAUCAGACUAAUACCUAUUGUUGUGCAUAAUAAACAUAUACAUGUGCUUCACUCAAAUGUUCGGAAAGCCCUUUGGAGAGGGACAUCAGGGAAUGGAGAGUUGGUCCAGUGGGUAAAGUGCUUGCUGUAUAAAGCACGAGGAAGGACCUGAGUCUGGAACCUCAGCAUGCACAUAAAAGCUAGGCAUGGCGGUGGGUGCCUGUCAUUCCAGUGCUUGUUGGGGCUAUGGUGGGUAGAGGGAGGACUGAGACAGACUGACUCCAGGGCUUAGUGGCCAGCCAGUGCAGUCAAAACAGAGAGUGAUGGAGGAAGAUGCUCAACUUUAACCUCUGUCCUCCGUGCCUAACUACACACACAUGUGCACGUGACAUGAUAAACCACAAACCCCUACCACCCACACAGAUAGAGAAAGUGUGUCUGAGGUAAGGCACAAGGGGAAAAAUCCUCCCCAUGGUUUAUAGAACAAAUCUAGAUAUAUGCAGGACAGGGAAAACCCCCUGAACUUCAUCACUGAAUUAGUAGUGAAAAUGUUCAACAGGCAGGAAUGGAUUCAAAAAGCAUUAUGUGAAAGCGACAACCAAAUAAUGUGCCUAGUAGCUGUGUCUGAUUCACAGGAAAUGAACAACCCUCCAUGUUACACUCAUUUAGCACCCCACCUAGUGAUUGCCUAUUGAUCUACAUAGAGUCGAACACGCAAAUUGAAAGCAUGCCAUUAAUAACUCUUCACAAAAAGGCCACCCAGUUCAGAGUACAGGGCAUUUCUGUUACUCCAGUGAGUUCCCCCGCUUUCUGGUCCCCUGAGAGCCUGCUUGUUCACCAGUUACUAGAUUAGUAGUUACUAGUUACUAGAUUAACUUUACGUGCUCUAAAGCUUCUGUUGGUUAAUGAUCGCUGGUGAGAGGGGUCACACUCCCCAGUCCCUAACCACUCCUGACCUGUCCUCGUGCAGACAACCUUUACUAAAUGGAACUGGCCACAAGCAAGCUUACAAGACAUGAAGAUAGGUGGGGGAGUUGUGGGAAGAAGGGUGUAGUGAGAGGAGGAAAGGGCUAAGAGGAGAACAAGGGUGAAUACUAUCAAAGUUCCCCUCCCCCUUUCUAAUAGAUCUAUAAUGAAAUUGUGAAAGAAUAAAUUAGAAGAAAAAAACGGCCUCUUCAUGGACCUCUGAGGUAUUUUUUUCUUAAAAUAAUAUUUUUGAGAUUUAUCAAAAAUAUUUUCUUGUGACUUCUAGUCACU
rnacentral:lncRNA from 1 species